AACGAACGCUGGCGGCAUGCCUAACACAUGCAAGUCGAACGAGACCUUCGGGUCUAGUGGCGCACGGGUGCGUAACGCGUGGGAACCUGCCUUUAGGUUCGGAAUAACUCCCCGAAAGGGGUGCUAAUACCGGAUAAUGUCUUCGGACCAAAGAUUUAUCGCCUUUGGAUGGGCCCGCGUUGGAUUAGCUAGUUGGUAGGGUAAAAGCCUACCAAGGCGACGAUCCAUAGCUGGUUUGAGAGGAUGAUCAGCCACACUGGGACUGAGACACGGCCCAGACUCCUACGGGAGGCAGCAGUGGGGAAUAUUGGACAAUGGGCGAAAGCCUGAUCCAGCAAUGCCGCGUGAGUGAUGAAGGCCUUAGGGUUGUAAAGCUCUUUUACCCGGGAUGAUAAUGACAGUACCGGGAGAAUAAGCUCCGGCUAACUCCGUG
rnacentral:rRNA from 1 species